UUGUUCCUACGGGAGGCAGCAGUGGGGGAUAUUGCACAAUGGGGGGAACCCUGAUGCAGCGACGCCGCGUGGGUGAAGAAGCGCCUCGGCGCGUAAAGCCCUGUCAGCAGGGAAGAAAAUGACGGUACCUGAAGAAGAAGCCCCGGCUAACUACGUGCCAGCAGCCGCGGUAAUACGUAGGGGGCAAGCGUUAUCCGGAUUCACUGGGUGUAAAGGGAGCGUAGACGGCGACGCAAGUCUGGAGUGAAAGCCCGGGGCCCAACCCCGGGACU
rnacentral:rRNA from 1 species